rnacentral:lncRNA from 1 species
CAAGUUAUACUUAUUUACAAAAUGAAGUCAAAGUUUGGAUUAAAGUUUAUUCGCAAUGAGUAUUUAUGAAAAUAGUUUUGAAAAAUCAAAGGCUUAAGGCCUAGGUUUCUAAUUUGAAACAAAGUCAAAGUUUUGAAAAUGAUUUUUGGCUUGGUUAGAGUGGGGAGAAGAAGAGAAGGGCUAGUCUUAAAGCAUACAAAGAUAAGAGGGGAAAGAUAAACCCUUGGAGUUCCUUUUUUUAAAUCCAUAGAGAUGACUCAAGAUGCUCUUUUCCUUUGGACUUAGCACACAAACAAGCAAUCAAACAAUUUGAAUUCAAGCUCCUAGGAUCUCCAUUUGGCUUGGCUCUUAACUUGGCUGCUCAUGACAAUGGUCCUCCUUUCACAAUUUUAAG